UUGAUUACGUCCCUGCCCUUUGUACACACCGCCCGUCGCUGUCCGGGACUGAGCUGUUUCGAGAAGAGUGAGGACAUUCGUUGCGAGGCUUCGGCUUUGCAUCGGGAGGAAUCACUUUAAUCGCAAUGGCUUGAACCGGGCAAAAGUCGUAACAAGGUACCUGUAGGUGAACCUGCAGGUGGAUCAUCGUCGGUUCCUGAUCGUAUAUGUUCCACAAAUUACGCUUCUUGGAAAUGACGCCGACGCAGUCGGAUGUUCCCUUGAAGUGUGUGUAUCUCCACGCAGUGUGCAGGAGUGAACGUCGUUCGCUAACUUGGGGAGGUUAGCUGCUUCUGUCGGGGGCAACCUUGGCAGAAGACGAUUGUUUGCGACUCGAAAGAGUUGCUUAAAGGUCAGCUUUGACCGCACUGCAAACCAGCUGCUGGCUAAUGCGCCUUAAUGACUUGAUCAAUGGCGGCAGCUCGGUUAUUUUCACAUUCGAACUUUUCAAUUUUGAAACUUUUAAAAAGAUUAGCAUUAGUGUUGGAUCGGUCGAUUCGUAGAUCGAUGAAGAACGCAGCUAGCUGCGUUAUUUACCACGAAUUGCAUACACUUUGAGUGGUGAAAUUUCGAACGCAUAGCGCUACAGGGUUUUCCCUGUGGCACGUCUGGUUCAGGGUUGGUUGUACUACUAACAGAGAGUUCUGAUUAGUCGGGCUGCUGCGCUUCGGCGUACCAGUUCUAGUCAAGAGCGAGAGCAAAGUGCACUCGUGGAACCUCGGUUCCGUCUUCACGCGCUAUGUGAGGUGCUUCAUGAUUGCGGCACUAAUGACGGUUACUGUUGGUUCGUCUUAAUUUCACAACCUGAGCUCAGUCGUGACUACCCGCCGAACUUAAGCAUAUCAUUCAGCGGAGGAAAAGAAACUAACUAGGAUUCCCUUAGUAACGGCGAGUGAAA
rnacentral:rRNA from 1 species